UACGAAGGGGGCUAGCGUUGCUCGGAAUCACUGGGCGUACAGCGCACGUAGGCGGCUUGUUAAGUCAGGGGUGAAAUCCUGGAGCUCAACUCCAGAACUGCCUUUGAUACUGGCGAGCUUGAGUUCGGGAGAGGUGAGUGGAACUGCGAGUGUAGAGGUGAAAUUCGUAGAUAUUCGCAAGAACACCAGUGGCGAAGGCGGCUCACUGGCCCGAUACUGACGCUGAGGUGCGAAAGCGUGGGGAGCAAACAGG
rnacentral:rRNA from 1 species